GGCCUUUGCAGUUUCUGUAAUCUUUUCACUGGGUGACAGAAAUAUGAGAUGCAAAUUUGUAAGCCAUUUAGUGAAGGGUUUAAUCGAUUUCAUACAUAAAACAAGGAAUGAAAUUUGCUUGUUUAUUUAUCGGUGCGAAUUUCCGCUUUUCGUGCUGGUCGUGAGGAAGUUCAAAUUUGCAAAACUUUAUACACAAAGCAGAAC